GUGCUUGCUUCGGCAGCACACAUACUAAAAUUGGAAAGAUACAGAGAAGAUUAGCAUGGCCCCUGCACAAGGAUGACACGCAAAUUCGUGAAGUGUUCCAUAUUUAA
rnacentral:snRNA from 1 species